rnacentral:rRNA from 1 species
GGUCAAGUUAUUAAGGGUGCAGGGCGGAUGCCUUGGCACUAGGAGCCGAUGAAGGACGUGAUAAGCUGCGAUAAGCUUCGGGGAGUUGCACGUAAACUUUGAUCCGAAGAUUUCCGAAUGAGGAAACUCACUUAGAGUAAUGUCUAAGUAUCAUUAAGUGAAUACAUAGCUUAAUGAGGGGAACUCAGGGAACUGAAACAUCUAAGUACCUGAAGGAAGAGAAAGAAAUUCGAUUCCGUAAGUAGCGGCGAGCGAACGCGGAUUAGCCCAAACCAAUAAAGUUUUCUUUAUUGGGGUUGCGGACAUAUCAUAACGAAGAGGUAUCGUAAUUGAAGAGGUUUGGAAAGACCCACCACAGAAGGUAAUAGUCCUGUAUGUUAAACGAGAAGACUUUAGAUAUGAUCCAGAGUACCACGGGACACGUGAAACCCU